UACAGAGGGUGCGAGCGUUAAUCGGAAUUACUGGGCGUAAAGCGUACGCAGGUGGCUGAGUCAGUCGAUUGUGAAAGCCCUGGGCUUAACCUGGGAAUUGCAGUCGAUACUACUCGGCUUGAGUAUGGGAGAGGGCAGUGGAAUUCUCGGCGUAGCGGUGAAAUGCGUAGAUAUCGAGAGGAACAUCAGUGGCGAAGGCGGCUGCCUGGCCCAAUACUGACACUCAGGUGCGACAGCGUGGGGAGCAAACAGG
rnacentral:rRNA from 1 species